rnacentral:SRP_RNA from 2 species
AGCCGGACUUGGCCGGGAAGCCAGACACUUCCUGUUACCCGAAGCCUACAUGCGGGGGCGACAGCCGGGAAAGGGCAACCAGACUUCUGGCAGGCCCUGUGGAAUCAAUGACGUUCUGUCCCUUCGGAUCGAAGGUUCGGGAAUUGCAGAUCGAAGGAACUGCAGAUCCCGAUUUACCAGGAGAACCCGUCAGGACCGGAAGGGAGCACCGGUAUCCUGGACUCUUGAUGCUGAAGGGGUGCGGGAUCGAGAGGAAGCAGGGGGCACCUGUCAGGACAUCUGGUCCGAUCCCGGUGAGUCCGGUU